rnacentral:rRNA from 1 species
UACGGAGGGUGCAAGCGUUAUCCGGAUUCACUGGGUUUAAAGGGUGCGUAGGUGGGCAGGUAAGUCAGUGGUGAAAUCUCCGGGCUUAACCCGGAAACUGCCAUUGAUACUAUCAGUCUUGAAUACCGUGGAGGUAAGCGGAAUAUGUCAUGUAGCGGUGAAAUGCUUAGAUAUGACAUAGAACACCAAUUGCGAAGGCAGCUCGUUACACGAAUAUUGACUCUGAGGCUCGAAAGCGUGGGGAUCAAACAGGA